rnacentral:sRNA from 1 species
AUUGAAUCACGGCCUAAAUUCGAGAAAUCGGAUACGGAGGACCCAAUCAAGUGGGGUUAAUCCUGCGCGUCUUGCGUUUGUGCAUGACCGCGCGGGAGGGAUGAGUGAAGUCAGCUUCUCUGCCAUCCUACCCGUCAGCUAACUUCGUCGGCUAAAGCAGGGAAGGU